CGCAUCGUUCGGUGAUUUCUGGGGAUCGCUAUGGCUUUUGGAUGUCCACAUUGCCUUAUGUGCCUUGUGGGUGCUCACUAGUUACACGGUUCUUGUGAAUGCUACCAUCGUAAAGGUGCAUGAGUUGUGUUUGGUUUGUUACAGGUGGUUGGCUCUUUGCUUGCGCAACAACUUCCACCCGGCAUACCUCUUCAGUUGUUUGUUUAGGCUUGCUUUGCCUAUCCAAAUUGUUGGUUUCUGUGUUGCAUACCUAAGCUAUGGUAUUGUGUUGGCUGAUUAUAGUUGAUUUCAUCUUGUGUCAUUCUUGUGGCAUCGGAUGAACCACGAAGCAGUCUCUUUGAUCCACUUUGUUAACGCAUGCGUUGAUGUUGUGGCCCAGUGAGUGUUGCUUGGUAUCCUGGAUAUGGAAAACAAUGUGGGCAUGGGUUCUCUUGAGAUCCUAUUGUUGCCCCCAUUUAGCGUUUGUGCCUCUUUUUAAAAUGACUUACUGUCUUGCCUGAUUUGUCUUUGCCAUCGGGAGGGUUUGUCAAAGUUAACAAUGCUUACUGUCUUGCCUGAWUUGKCUUUGCCAUCGGGAGGGUUUGUCAAAGUUAACAAUGCUUACUGUCUUGCCUGAAUUGGCUUUGCCAUCGGGAGGGUUUGUCAAAGUUAGCCUGACCUACUGUCUUGCCUGAAUCGGCCUUGCUAUCGGGAGGGUUUGUCAAAAAAGUGGCGCAUCACCUUGAAUGACCGGCCUGUCCCGUGUUGGCUCGUACCAGCGGGCGGGCUAUGUCAACGAGGAAUGC
rnacentral:misc_RNA from 1 species